GGUCAACACACAAUACACAACAUACACACGUUCUGUUUUCUGUUCGGUGAUGGCCACUCUGUGUGCAUUGGGCUACUGUACACCCACACGAGAAUCAGGUGACGCAGAUUAUUGUAGUGUAAGCAUGGAUGAAUAAGUGUACAACGUCGUCCGUGUGAUCAUGGAGGAACACGUCUACCUCCACCCAUUUAUUCCUCCAUGCUCCACCAUAGUAUGAUUGUGCAUCCUGCAGUAACACUUCAGAUCAUCUUUAAGACACAACCAAAAGAUAACCAGUUGGAGGGGCCUACACUACACACAUACAGACAGAACGAUUGAAAAUGGCACGGUAUAAUAGUUGGUUUUGAACUGGCGUGUCGGGCUUUGUGACUGAUUCUAUCUACAAGUACUGAAUAAUCCUCAUCAGACUUGAAAAUGUUCACCAAACUCUUAAGCAAGACAACCGCAAGAUUGCCAAUCAAUAUCACUUCAAAUGUCUUACGAAGUGCUUCGACUAAACCCGGGAAGCCGGGUUGCACGUCGUACAACCGGACGAGCCCAUCAGUCCGAAACAUCACAAACUUAUCAAGGGUUUCGGCACGAGGCUGUUCAACCCCAGCAACAUCGUUCUUCACUCAUCCAGCCCCGUUCAGACGACACGAUCAACCCGGGGUAGCUGAUCGCCUCCUACUGAAGGACGUUCAGCUAGACGUCGAGAGAAGGCAACUCGUUGUAUCAUGGGAUGAUGGCGAUACUCAGAUCUACCCCUUCGUCUGGCUGCGUGAUAACUGCCGCUGCACCAAAUGCUUCCACCCAGUUGCCUUAGCUCGGAGUACAUGCGCGCACACGUUGGAUGUUGAACUCAUCGCCAAGACUGUUACAAAAACACAAGAUGGAAGUGCCUUUCAAGUCAACUGGGGUGAUGGACAUGUGAGCGAGUUCCCAUCUAAGUGGUUGAGGGAGUACCGCUUUGACAACAGUACGCCAGACCAGUUACUGAACGUAAAAUACAAGCCCUGGGGUGCAGACGUCAACCUUCAGUUCUUUGACUUCAACUCGAUUCUUGAAGACGACCAGACGCUUUAUGAUUGGCUGGUGGAGAUGGUUACUGUAGGCAUUUCCAUCGUGACGAACGCUCCGAAAGAGACUGGCCAAGUAGAACGCAUUGGGGAGAGGGUGGCUUUCCUUCGGAAGAGUAACUACGGACCAACAUUUCACGUGAAGGCCAAAAUGGAUCCGAGUAACCUAGCUUACACGACUGGUGCUUUAGCGUUACACACCGAUCUGGCCUACUACAUCAACGAACCCGAUAUACAAAUGCUGCACUGCAUAGAGCAGGUUGCGAGCGAAGGCGGCGAGAACGUCGUGGCUGACGGCUUUAAGGUUGCCCUGGAUCUGAAGCGAGAUGACCCGGAAGCAUUUAAUCUACUGUCGACCUAUCCGUUUGAGUUCUCGGACAUUGGGAAAGAUCACUACGGUGAAUUCCUCCAACGAUCCCGCCACCCAACAAUUAAACUGAACGAACUUGGUGAAAUCGAAAAGGUGACAAUCAGCGACCACAGCAGAGAUGCGAUGCUGCGUGCGCCCGUACACUUAGUGUUACCCAUCUACCGUGCACUCAACAAGUACUGCAAAAUGUUGUUGGAGCCAGAAAACUUACUGCAAUACAAACUAGAAGAAGGAAACAUCUUGGCUUUCAACAACUGCCGUGUCCUUCACGGUCGGAACUCUUUCCGUGUGAUCAAAGCUGGAGGGCGUCAACUCGAGGGCGGAUAUCUGGAUUGGGACGAGGUCUUCUCAAAGCUACACGUCUUAUCGAGGAAGCUCCAAAAUCAGGAACAACUAUAGACACUAUGUUUGUCUUUUGGGACGAAAAUGAGAUUAAACGAUCGGACCCUGAAACUGACCCCGACUUUGAGGCAAUUAUAUAACCAACAAGUCAAAGUGCUUUUGAAUAAAAUGUCAAAAAAUGUCAAAUGUUACAAGACAGCCCCGCAAAAUGACUAUAUUAUGACGUGUAGUUCUAAGAAAUGAUAUGUUUGAUGUUAGCACGUCCUUUUUGAACUGGAGGUUAAGGUCAAAAUAUAAUCACAAUUUUGUUUUACAUGUGCUUUAAAGGAUUUUGAUAUUUUUUUAACACAAAACAUAAUCUCCACAGAUUUACAUUAAACUUACUCAGUUUGAGGAUAAUGAUGGUAGAAAGCUUCCCUUAAAAAAUUAUUUGCUGAGAUGCGGCCUACAUGUUGUCACACCGUCAUACAGGUGACCUGUACCCAUUUCAACUUUCUUUGAAUUAAGUGUCUUAAUAAUAUCCUUAUUCCUGAUUACUUUCUUAUAUAUGUCCUGUUAAUUGUCACCCUGUCCUUUUGUGUUAUUCCUAUAAUAAUUCUUCCCACAUACCUCUCUGUCACCCUCAAGACGUUUUUAGUUCUAGGGUAUGUUCAGACGUGGGGUUAAACUAGCCCAUAAUCCGAGCACCGCGGGUGUCCAAAACAUAAACAUGACUUAGUCCAAAACUGGCUUGCGUUCACACAGCGAGUUUAUUCUUGCCAAACGGACUAAACUAGCCCAAGAGGUUGAUUAUUUGGUCAUGCAUCGGCGACCCUUACCAUUGCUGGUUCCGGUUCGUUACACUGCGCAUGCGUUUUCCCACAGGGUUUCGAUCCGCCACGUCUCUACGAACCUCAUGGUCAUCGCACAAGAGUUUUUAAUUCACAAACAAAUUGGUAAAAAAAACAAAAAACAGCGCCUAGCUUUGAACCACUGGCGCUGACUUCUUUGCUACGACUACUGCGCAUGAUUGUGUCCGUUCGUUGGUGCAAGGCCUGCUCAUUCGUUGUGUGUCCAACCACUGUGUGCAGAAAUAUAAUUCAUCAACCAUUCGAGUGCAAACCUCUGGAUGGAGAGGGAGUAAGUUAAAACCAGAAUGGUUGAUCGAAAAUGGUUUUCUGUGCGGAAUAAUCUGAUGACUGUUCUGACACUAGUUGCUACAUUUGACGUUUGUUUCAGCUCGUGCUAUAUUCAACCCCUGGAUAUUAAAGACAAGUCGACAUCUCAGAGCAGCACCCAUCAUGAGUACCCAGCAGAAAAUGCCGUGGAUGGUAGUGUUGCAACCUUCUCCCAAACAGCUAACGAUGGGACAGACUCCAAUCCUUGGUGGCAACUUGACUUGGGAGGAGAAUUCUGGCUUGGUAGAAUCACGGUCAUGAUCUGCAAAGAUUCACCAUGUGGGGCUUAUUUCAACGGAGUGACAGUACGAGCCGGCUUGAGCGAAAACUACACCGAGAACACCGAGUGCACUUCAUUGGUA